GGAGGAUAGAUGAAAGUCCUGGUUCAGCUUUGAAGAGCAUAAAAGUGUGCGAAAUAAAAUUAGCUUUGCUUUUAUCUUAACAGACAGGCGGUUUAGUUACUACUGAUGUUUUCCAGCAAGAAGAUACAGAGCAGACAUCCAUGCCACACUGAAGAAACAGCAGGAUGACAACCGCGUCCUUUUGGGUCAUCAUCUUUACAAAGGUAGCCUGUACUGACGGUUGAUAUCUAAAGCUGUGCAGAGAAAGCAUGAUUGCUAACACUACGACUAGCAAAAUCUCAAAAGUUUGUGCCAUCUAGCUCUUCUUAUCUGUAAAGAGUUACAACGAUGCAACGUCUUGUACAGGCAUUAACGUCAAUAUUGUAUUACAACACUAAUCAAGACAUUUCCAUUAUGCUUAUUGAGCUACUACUACAGGCAGCAUAUGUGAAAUUGACAUUUUUAACUGAGAAGAUAAUGUAUCUGGCUUUCUCGACACACUCUCCUGCAGGGUCUCCAGAGACCAUGCAGAGGCAGAGAGCUUUUAUUGAUUACCUGAGAACAGCUUAAGAAGUAUUUGUCUGAAACCUGAGGAGGAGCAGAUGCACACAAUCUUCAUUCACUUCACAGUAUUUGAAUCCAUGUUUGAAUGGACCCCAUCAGUGCAUCCAGAUGACUAUGUAUUUAUGAAAGAAUGAGCACAAAAUAAAUCUGUGACUUGUGAGGUUUGAAGGUGCACUGUGCAGUAUUUUAGCAGCAUUCAGGCAGAAUAGACUUGGUGGAAACGGAAAACAAUAACAAUAAGUGUGUUUACAUUGAUGUAUGAUCACCUAAAUAUUUACAAUUCUACACACUGUACCUAAAAUAUAGCAAACCUAAACAUUUUCCUCUGAUCUGUUUCAUCGUUUUAGGUUAAGAGUUUUUAAUCAACAGCACUAAGUCCUUGUAUUUACUGCUCAUCACCACCAGAGUGUGGCAAAGGAUAUAUAAGCCUCUUUGCCAUCUAGUGUGGAGUCUUGCAUACUUCAGAGCUUCAUUCAUUUCUCUGGUGUCGUAGACAAAGAGCAGAAUAAAGAAUCACUGAGAGUAAGAGAGGAAGUGAAACUGGAAACGGGACUUUUAAACUUUGGUGUACUUUUGUGGCUACAGUUGUUCUCCUUUUAGGAUUUAAAGUGCCUGUUGGCAUAAAAAACAAUGUUAUUAUCAUGUAGAAUCUAUGCUUAUGAAGAAAAAAAGAGUUCAACUAAAUAGUAAGAUGUGUUCAAACAUUAACUGUGAGAAACUGUUUGAUAAAAACCCACUUCAUGUCAAAAUGCCACAUUAAAUGUAUGAUAGAGCUACUGAAACACCAAAAUCUUUAAUUACCUACAUUGUUUAAAUCUUUCUCAUAUAAGGAGGUAAAGUCUAUCUAUUCUGCUUUAUUUAUAGACCAUUUAUCCUUCAUGUCACAGAGCCCUUUGCAUACACUCCCCUCUGCCUUUGUGUCUCUGUUCUGCAGCUCUGAGGGGGUUAACAGGACAUGAAGACAGUUGGGCCGCACCCACUGAGCUGAUUUGAAUAACGCCGGCAUUUGGCGCGAGGCUCAGAGGAGCCAGCCUUUCUUCAUACCGGCUGUGACACCACUCCCCUCCCCUUCACUCCCCGCCUUGUGCACCAUGGAGUGGCGGGAAAUGCUGGAGAGGAAGACCAGCACAAACAGAGUGAGAGAUGGAUCCAGGGACUGCACUGGCAGGGCUUUUACACCUACUCUGUACCUGCAGUCCCUUGGUUACCUAGGAAACAUGUCUUAUAGAAAAUGUCCCCAAGAGAAAGGACAGAGAGACAGAAAACAAGGAGGAAGAAGUAGCAGAA